AAUCAGAUAGUUCAGUCCACUGUAUGCUUCUAUGACACAUACAUGCAGUAGCUGCACACUCUGAACACUGAAUAGCCACUGCUCCCUCGAGUUGCCGGAGUGGCCGUCGAGGCUUGCCUCAAGUCUGACUACAUCGAGCUCCCGCCACAUGCUAGCACGCAAGUGCAGCAGCGGCCAAUCAAUCAUCAGUGAUAUUAAAAGGCAUUGGCGUGGCUGUGCGGAGGACUCAGGUUCUUUCCUACUCUCGGUGUGGCCGACGCCUUGAACCACAAGGCCUCCAAGAUCCCAUAUGUAAGUGAGUGAUGCAACAACUGGGAAACAUGCGAAUGCAUUGAGUUAAAUUUUGUUUGAGUUGGACACUUAUGUGACUAAUAGCCAUCAUAGCGGAUCUUGUUUGAUAUAUGAAUUAUGCCUUCUUAUUUCAGUAAGAUCGGUGAUGAAAAUUGUUUUAUUUUUACUGAUAUUUUGGAUAUAAAUGGAUUCAAUCUUCGAUCCAAUAUUAAAUACUUGUAACUCUUCAGGUUUA